AGAAUCUUGCACAAUGCGCGAAAGCGUGAUGCAGCGACGCCGCGUGAAGGAUGAAGGCCCUUGGGUCGUAAACUUCUUUUAUCGGGGAAGAAUAAAUGACGGUACCCGAUGAAUAAGCCACGGCUAACUACGUGCCAGCAGCCGCGGUAAUACGUAGGUGGCAAGCGUUGUCCGGAUUUACUGGGCGUAAAGAGUAUGUAGGCGGACAUUUAAGUAGAAAGUGAAAGGCUCGAGCUUAACUCGGACACUGCUUUCUAUACUGGAUGUCUUGAGUGCCGGAGAGGAAAGCGGAACGACACGUGUAGCGGUGAAAUGCGUUGAUAUGUGUCGGAACACCAAUGGCGAAGGCAGCUUUCUGGACGGAGUCGCAAGACUUAAAACUGACGCUGAGAUACGAAAGCGUGGGUAGCGA
rnacentral:rRNA from 1 species